rnacentral:lncRNA from 1 species
UAAAAAUAACAGAAAAAUGAGUUUUAAACAGAAUAAAAAUCAAGUACAUUAAAUUAAAUAAGUAUGGAUUAAAAUGUACUUAAUUCAAAGUAAAAUGGAAGAAAAUGAAAAUAAAGCAGAAUUGAGGACCAAAAAGGCACGCUCGAAUAACAUGGGGACUAAAGAGGAAAAUAUCCCCAGGCCCAAAAGACUGCGCUUCUGCAUGGACCGAAUUGAAACAAACAAUGAAAUAUGUGCAAAAAUUUAAGAAACAUAAGAGGAUCAAUUUAAGCACGUUACAAAAGUGGGGGAACCAAUUGCGCAAAUAAACCAUUGAGACAAGACGCGCGGAUCCUUCCCUCGGGUCGGGUCACUGCGCGGAUCAUUGCCAAAAAGGAAACAUUUUGAAACCAUUAGCAUAGGUCUCAAGCGGUGCCGUUGUUCAGUCCCUAUAAAGCCAAAAUUGAAUCCUAGUAGCCACUUUUUACAAAAAGCAAACCCUAGCCGCAACACUCGGAAAACAAAACGCCCUUAGGACCUGCAUCUUUCGCCAAACUCCGAUUGCGACGGAGCGAGUGAAGGGUCAGCCACUAGGUAAGUCUCUCGACCCUUAAAUCUUCCCUUUUUCUCUUUUUUAUAAGGUUAAUAGAAAAAAAAGAAAAGAAAACUUGGAGAAAAAUAGAAGAAAAGAAAAGUGUGAAAAUCACCUUUCGAAAACUUUUACUUUUUUU